rnacentral:tRNA from 1 species
GGGGGCAUAGCUCAGCGGUAGAGCACCGGAAUCUUGUCAAAGAUUCCUGCAGCAAUUUUUUAAAGGACUGUAAAUCCUCAAAUUCUCCGGUUCGACUCCGGAUGUCCCCA